GCGGGAGCUCGGCCCUCCGGGUCCGCCCGCGCCCGGCAGCCGGCGGCCAGGAGACCCGGUGCCAAGAAGGGGGCGACGGCGGGGCCGGGAACGCACGGCCCGGCCUGGCUGAGGAACCAGCAAGCCCCCACAGGCCAUAGUGCCUUCAGGUGCGUACACCUGCCUCAGCCACGUGAUUACCCUGAAUAUCUGCUGGGAGAUGAGCAAAGGUCGGAGAGGGACCAGACUUCAGCAGAGACCCAACCAGCAGCAGUUCCUGAACACCCGCCCCCCAGUGCUUCCAGAUGUGCAACAUGGACCAACCUGUGAGCAUUUGCUCUUCCUCAGGAUCAUUCUUCUAAAGGAGACCUUAAAGGAUAAAACGAAAAUAUGAAAACAGAAUACAAGCCCAGUACCCCCAAGUUAUCUGCAUGACAAGAAGUUGUUGCCAGGCAUCGGAAAAUGUCAAGUCCUCUGAACUGGGUAGGAAAGGUGGUGACAAGAGUAAAGACAAAGUAUACACUGGAUAAAAGCUACAUGUCUAAAAAUUGAUGUUAAAAAAGAUAUAAAACUUGGAGGUUAAAGAAAAGGAGAAAGUGAAAGUGUACAUACUUAUAAGACACCUAUUAUAGACAAGUAGAUAAAAGAAAUGGUUGGAUUAAAGCAAGAAAGUUUGAUCAAUCUAUCAAUGUAAAAGAGUCAAGUCUGUUUUUAUCUUUGUAUCCACAAGAAUAAUGAAAUUAUGGCUCUUAAACUCAAUUAUGUUUAGAAGGGGUAAGAAAAAGAGCAAUCAUUCUUUAUCUCAAUUCAGUUAGACUCAAAGAAAAAGAUACCUGUUCAGAGAGAGAAAAGAAAAAAAAUAGAAAAAGAAAAAAAAGAAAAAAAAUCUUCAUUCCUGAUAGUAAGCAAGGGUAAGUAUGUAUGUCCAGUGGCAUAAGAGAAAGCUGUUAUCAGAGGGAACUUCAUCAUGCUUUCUGAGGACAGCUGCCCCAAAGAGAAACCUCUUAAUUUCCACCUUGCUGAAAGGAAGAACUUUGAACCCCCUCUAAAUCCUCUCCCCCUCACUAAAAGAGCAGGCUGUUGAAAAAUUAAGAGACACCUAUAGAAUGUAUCCUAGAAGAAGGUUCAAGUCUGAGAUCCUUGGAGAACAGGUUGGACUCAGAAAAAAUUUCUGCUGCCCAAGUUCUCA